AUACGGAGGGUGCAAGCGUUAAUCGGAAUUACUGGGCGUAAAGCGUACGUAGGCGGUUCGUUAAGUUAGAUGUGAAAGCCCCGGGCUUAACCUGGGAACUGCAUUUAAAACUGGCGAACUAGAGUUGAGUAGAGGGGAGUGGAAUUUCAGGUGUAGCGGUGAAAUGCGUAGAGAUCUGAAGGAACACCAGUGGCGAAGGCGGCUCCCUGGACUCAAACUGACGCUGAGGUACGAAAGCGUGGGGAGCAAACAGGAUUAGAUACCCUAGUAGUCC
rnacentral:rRNA from 1 species